UACGGAGGGUGCGAGCGUUGUUCGGAAUUAUUGGGCGUAAAGCGCACGUAGGCGGCUCUUUAAGUCUCAUUGUGAAAGCCCGCGGCUCAACCGCGGGAGGCCAAGGGAUACUGGAGGGCUGGAGACAGGUAGAGGCGAGCGGAAUUCCGGGUGUAGCGGUGGAAUGCGUAGAGAUCCGGAAGAACACCAGAGGCGAAGGCGGCUCGCUGGACCUUGUCUGACGCUGAGGUGCGAAAGCGUGGGGAGCGAA
rnacentral:rRNA from 1 species